GAACGAACGUUAGCGGCGCGCUUAACACAUGCAAGUCGUGCGAGAAAGGGCUUCGGCCCCGGUACAGCGGCGCACGGGUGAGUAACACGUAGGUAAUCUACCCCCAGGUGGUGGAUAACCUUCCGAAAGGAGGGCUAAUACAGCAUGAGACCACGACUCCGAAAGGGGAUGAGGUCAAAGCCGGCCUCUUCACGAAAGCUGGCGCCAGGGGAUGAGCCUGCGGCCCAUCAGGUAGUUGGUAGGGUAAUGGCCUACCAAGCCAAAGACGGGUAGCUGGUCUGAGAGGAUGAUCAGCCACACUGGAACUGAGACACGGUCCAGACUCCUACGGGAGGCAGCAGUGGGGAAUCUUGCGCAAUGGGCGAAAGCCUGACGCAGCGACGCCGCGUGAGUGAUGAAGGCCCUCGGGUUGUAAAGCUCUGUGGAGGGGGACGAAUAAGUGUUGGCUAAUAUCCAGCAUGAUGACGGUACCCCUUUAGCAAGCACCGGCUAACUCUGUGCCAGCAGCCGCGGUAA
rnacentral:rRNA from 1 species